rnacentral:rRNA from 1 species
GUCCACGCCGUAACGAUGGCACUAGGUCCUUGGGAGCGACCCUUGAGGGCCGGCGCUAACGCAUUAAGUGCCCGCCUGGGAGUACGGCCGCAAGGCUGAAACUCAAAGGAAUUGACGGGCCCGCACAAGCGGUGGAGCAUGUGGUUUAAUUCGACGCAACGCGAAGAACCUUACCUGGGCUUGACAUGCACGGGAACUCGUGGGGAAACCCCGCGGGGCUCUUCGGAGCUCGUGCACAGGUGCUGCAUGGCUGUCGU